GAGGAAUUAUUUUAAUUAAAAUAUAAAUCUGUCAGAUUUAAGUUAUCACAAGAUAUUUCUUU
rnacentral:tRNA from 1 species